CCUGUACUGAUUAUAAAUAGUGAUGGAGUGACGGAGAAGGAUAAAACAGCCUAUUAUUGGAUUUAGGUUAAAGUAAAAACUGGUGAAUAUAGUCAAAUGCGUAUUCUACAACUGGAAUUUACGAUAUAAAGUGCUUGCACGAAACUGUUUGAUUUCAUGCUUCCUAGAAAARCUUCUAAACGUUUAAAUUUAUAGUCACCUGUACCGAGAACGGACACACGUUCCCAAGAUGAGUAUUCUAAGGCGAGCGAGAGAACUAGUGUUAAGGAACUCUGCAAAUUUACCCCGUAAGUUCGCGAAAAGGGGUGCCUAUUUUAAUAGGCCACAGUAAAUUGUGAGGGGCAACUGUUUAUCAAAAACACAGCUCUCUGCUAAACCGUAAGGUGAUGUAUAGGGGGUGAAGCCUGCCCAGUGCCCGAAGGUUAAGUGGAUGCGUUAG
rnacentral:rRNA from 2 species